GUAAUUGUUACUGAGAUUAGUCUGCUGCCCGAGAUUCAUCACUGCGAUCUGAUGAGUGCUAGUAUCUAAAUCCUCAGAGCUCUCUUCUUCCAUUGUGCUCAUUUUACGUUACUGGCCUCCAUCUUUAAAAAUUCCGGGAUUCCCCCAACGCUGAAAAAUAAAAUUGGCGGCAAAAUUAUUGCAUAGUUUUAUAAAUAAUAUAUAUUACAAUAAAUUAAAGUACAAGGUUAUAAAUUUAGCGAAAUAUUAUUCCUCUAAAUUAAAAUAGAUGAAAUAAAAAUAAGAUUCCUUAUUGGUUCAAAAAUCAAGGCGCGCAAUUUAAAUUUCUAGUUCACUUUAAUAAUCGCAAAUUAUUUAUUGUUUUUAUGUUUUAGGUUAUUGGCCUCCAUCUUUAAAAAUUCCGGGAUUCCCC